rnacentral:lncRNA from 1 species
GAGGUCAUGACUGCCAGCAUUAUGACCAGUCUUGGAACUAGGAUUGGGGUGGGGUUCAUCCCACCCAGACCACAGAGACUGAAAAUAAGAAAGGGGUGAGGCCUAAGGGACAAUCAGGAUGUUUUUCAGAGAGAAGUGUGGAUGCUGGACAGGAAGAACCACAGAUACCAGAUACGGGACAUACUUUAUUCAGCUGGGUGCUGAAAAAGAAUCUUGGAAAUUAGGAAACUGAAUGAGGCCUCAUUUCACACUCAGAAUGUGGGUUGCAAUAGUCACUUCCUCUGCUGCUGGGAAAGAAAGAAUUAUACUACCUUUUGAAUUUUGGAUUAAGGAGAGAGGUGUUGGCUUGUCAAACUACCAUGUAUUCCUCAAGACAUAUUUUUGUGGCUUUAUAAAAUUCAAUAUAUAUGUCUAAAUUCAAAAAUAUUUUGUUGCAAUCUGGCCCUUGGACAAACUGAGGCCCUAGCAACUGAUGUUUAUGGCUUUCCGUAGAACCUUUCAGAUAAAAUUUACACAGCAUUUUACUGCAGCUAUUUCACACAAAGCAGAGGAUUUUGCCACAAAACUGAAAGAAAAAAGAAACUGCAUUCUUAAAUUUUUCAUAAAUCAAAAGGUAUAAAAAUAUCUACCUAAACGAUAAAGGAGAUGAGAAACCCCACCCAUGAUGGGAAGAAAGCCUAUUUCAGUUUUGCCUUUACUUCAAGUUCUUUUUUCCAUAUCUGGAAUGCAAUCAGAAUUUUAAUCUUGCCUUGGGUUCCUCCUGGAUUUGGGGAGAAGACAAAACCUGAAAAUCUCUAAUCUGCAUGUGUUCAGCUGCGUAUCUUCUGGAUACGGAAGGAUCACACUGCACAGAGUGCUGGACUUGCAGGAGCCCCGCUUCUCAACCUCCAUCGCUUUAUGAAUGAAUUCACCAGAAAGAAAAGGAAGAAUCAACACUUUCAGAGAUGGAGCCUGUUGAGCCACAGUACCAACUAGUCAAUGCUGAAUCGACUUCUCCCUUUCUACAUUGCCUGAGAGAAGUCAUUGGGGAAUACUCUGUACACGAAUUUUCACUGUUGGGGAAAACAGAGAGUCAAGGGAUUGGAUUGUGGAUUGCAUUGGUGGUUUUCCUCAGUUUCCUCAUCUUCUCCACAAGUUUCUACAUAUCGAAUGCAGAGCAGCCCUUCUUCAAAGGACCUCCUACGGAAGCUGCUAAGGAACUCAGUCUGUAGCUCUGCGUGGAGCCAUGUGUAAACACUGAACUGAGACCUGCCACCUCCUACUACCUAAGGGCCCAUUUUCAUCUGAUAUCAUCCCCCAGAAACAAACUCAUGAUGACUUCCAUGUUUUUUUUAGAUUAGAUACAUGGAGAAUUUUCCUUUCCCUUAGAAUUAAAAUCCUGCAUUCUAAUUUUCAGUAAGCUUUUUUAUUUCUGAAUAAUUUUAAAUUUAAAGAGAAGUUGCAAAGAUAGUAUAGAAUGUUCCCUUAUACCUGUUUUUAUUUAGAGUGAUGUUCCCAGGAGAAAUGAUAAUGCAGCAAUGGACAAGAACAGGAACAAGAGACAGUCUUACCAUCUUCUUACAAUUUAUAGAUGGGACAGUGGAAAGAGAAGCCACAUCGGGGUUGGGCAUGCAGAGACCUGGUCCUAAAUCUGUGUGACUUUUGCGAAAUCCUUUUGCCUCACAGAGCUCUAGGUUCUUAUCUGUCAAACAGGAACCAGACCAUCAGAUCCGUAGAGAUCCAACCAAUGAAGGAGACUUCGAAAACUUCACAUUGCCGUGUCAAUGUGAGGUUGCUGGAUGGUUAUGACAAGAAAUCACAUUAAAUUCACUGGGGUAACAUUGUUCAUGAAACGGGAUAAUGUGUUUCAGCGAUGAACCACCCAUGGCCUUACUACAGACAUAUUUCCACUUUGAAAAUGUGUGUGAGUGUACAUGUCUGUGUGUGAGGCAGAGAUUAGAAAGUGUAAAUGUGUGCGUUUUCAUUUUACACAUCUUACAUUUUCCUUUAAUUUGUUUGAAAGCCUGUUUUGUUUGUGGCUUCCAUUCCUGGAAGUCCCAUGAGUUGUUAGUGGUGAAGAUGGAACAGAUGUGUCCAACCCGGGGGACUCCUGCCCUCAGGGACUGAGCAGCUGCAAACCUCUCUCUCAUCUGAUUCCACUGUUUCUUCCACAUGUACACAUCAUGAGAAAUAUUGUUCAAUCAAUAUCUUCCCUUAAAUCAACUCAUAUGCUUAUUUACAUGAAUUUACCUAAAACAGAAACUUGAUAUCACUUCUGUAAAUGAAAAAAUUAAACUUUCUGGCUUUAAAUAAAGCAUAACAAUAAUAAUCAUGUCAAAA